AAAGUGCUGGGAUUUCAGGUGCUAGCCACUGCACCCGGCUAUGUUAUCUGUUUUUAACAAUUAAAAAGAAAAAAGCCCUUCACAUGAGCUUUAAAUUUCCCUUGAAUUUUUUUUUUUUUUUUUUUUUAAAGACAAAGUCUGACUCUGUCUCAAAAAAAUAAAUAAAUAAAUAACUGAAACAUCCUAUUUCAAGCCCUGUCCUCUUGGUUUCCCUUUUUAAUUAAUUAAUUUUUUCUUUUAAAAAAAUCAAGACAGGGUCUCGCUAUCUCACCCAGGCUGGUCUUGAACACCUGGUCUCAAACAACCCUCCUGCUUCAACCUCCCAAACUGCUGGGAUUACAGACAUGAGCCACUACACCUGUCCUUGUGUUCCUCUCAACACACUUGAAUUGAUCAGACUCUGGUAUUCAAAUUGUGAAAAUUCAUUUCCAAAAUCAAAGAACUAGUCAACAGUAGCACACUUCUCCCCAAAGAUGCCUAUUAUACAAUAAGCUCCCACAUGAUCAGAUGUAGAGGCACAAUGAUUCCCAUAAUUUCUUUUUUUUUUUUUCUUUUUUGAGACA